rnacentral:piRNA from 1 species
UUAUUUCAAUACGAGUUGAUU